AGAGUUUGAUCCUGGCUCAGAAUCAACGCUGGCGGCGCGCUUAACACAUGCAAGUCGGACGAGAAAGUGGAGCAAUCCAUGAGUACAGUGGCGUACGGGUGAGUAACACGUGGGUAAUCUACCUCCUAGUGUGGAAUAACUCUGGGAAACCGGGGCUAAUACCGCAUAAGCUCGAGAGAGGAAAGCAGCAAUGCGCUGGG
rnacentral:rRNA from 1 species